AAAAAGACAAACCCUGAAUUUCCGUGUUUAACAUUUGACCGUCCAUCUUAUUUAAAAAAAAAUGAAAAAAAAUUAAAAAGACAAGUCACGUAUAAAGUAUUAAUCAUGUUUUAUCAUCUAACAAUAAUAAAAAUACUAAUUAUAAAAAAUUUCAUAUAAGACGGACAGUCAAAUAUUGGACACGGAAAUCUAGAGUUUGUCUUUUU
rnacentral:pre_miRNA from 1 species